rnacentral:rRNA from 1 species
GACGAACGCUGGCGGCGUGCUUAACACAUGCAAGUCGAACGGAAAGGCCUCUUUCGGGGGGUACUCGAGUGGCGAACGGGUGAGUAACACGUGAGCAACCUGCCCUUGACUUUGGGAUAACUUCAGGAAACUGGGGCUAAUACCGGAUAGGAGCUCCUGCUGCAUGGUGGGGGUUGGAAAGUUUCGGCGGUUGGGGAUGGACUCGCGGCUUAUCAGCUUGUUGGUGGGGUAGUGGCUUACCAAGGCUUUGACGGGUAGCCGGCCUGAGAGGGUGACCGGCCACAUUGGGACUGAGAUACGGCCCAGACUCCUACGGGAGGCAGCAGUGGGGAAUAUUGCACAAUGGGUGGAAGCCUGAUGCAGCAACGCCGUGUGCGGGAUGACGGCCUUCGGGUUGUAAACCGCUUUCGCUCAUGACGAAGCUUUGUGUGACGGUAGUGGGUAAAGAAGCACCGGCUAACUACGUG